rnacentral:rRNA from 1 species
GAACGCUGGCGGCGUGCUUAACACAUGCAAGUCGAACGGAAAGGCCUUUUCGGAGGUACUCGAGUGGCGAACGGGUGAGUAACACGUGGGUGAUCUGCCCUGCACUCUGGGAUAAGCCUGGGAAACUGGGUCUAAUACCGGAUAGGACCGCACUUUAGUGUGUGUGGUGGAAAGUUUUUUCGGUGUAGGAUGAGCCCGCGGCCUAUCAGCUUGUUGGUGGGGUAAUGGCCUACCAAGGCGGCGACGGGUAGCCGGACUGAGAGGUUGGUCGGCCACAUUGGGACUGAGAUACGGCCCAGACUCCUACGGGAGGCAGCAGUGGGGAAUAUUGCACAAUGGGCGCAAGCCUGAUGCAGCGACGCCGCGUGGGGGAUGACGGCCUUCGGGUUGUAAACUCCUUUCGCCAGGGACGAAGCGUUUUGUGACGGUACCUGGAGAAGAAGCACCGGCUAACUACGUGCCAGCAGCCGCGGUAAUACGUAGGGUGCAAGCGUUGUCCGGAAUUACUGGGCGUAAAGAGCUCGUAGGUGGUUUGUCACGUCGUCUGUGAAAUUCCACAGCUUAACUGUGGGCGUGCAGGCGAUACGGGCUGACUUGAGUACUGUAGGGGUAACUGGAAUUCCUGGUGUAGCGGUGAAAUGCGCAGAUAUCAGGAGGAACACCGAUGGCGAAGGCAGGUUACUGGGCAGUUACUGACGCUGAGGAGCGAAAGCAUGGGUAGCAAACAGGAUUAGAUACCCUGGUAGUCCAUGCCGUAAACGGUGGGCGCUAGGUGUAGGGGCCUUUUGGGGUUUCUGUGCCGUAGCUAACGCAUUAAGCGCCCCGCCUGGGGAGUACGGCCGCAAGGCUA